UGGGUAAGCGAGAAAUUCUCGCUCCCUCCGAUGCCUGGGCAUUUCAUGAAACGACGAGCUGAAGUGGAUCCGGUGUGGCUGCUGACGUGUCGUCUAGAGGUGGUGAUCCGAUGCAACCUGGAUCUACCAUUCUAAAGGUAGAUAUCUUCUUCCUCACUCGAUGACCUAAAAUGCUAAAGCACUAGAAAGAGAAAUAUUUCGCCGCCUUAGAGGAGAACAUCUGGAUCUACCAGUCCAGCGAUGAUCGGAGAGAGGAUUCUUCGCCGGAGGGAGAGCAGCUGCCGCUAGUUUUAGAGAGUUUUGCCGCAUCUGAAGGUUUUAGAGAGAGAGAGGGAGAGAGUGUUUCUCGCCGCCUGUAUGUUCUCUGAGUGUUGUCGCAUCUAUUUUCAUCAGUUUUGACAUGUAUUUUUUUGUAUCAUUUCUUUAAUCAUCUGUAUACAAGUUUUGUGCCCUGUUUUCCUAAUAUGCAUAUCUUUGUUUACAAGGAUGUUGACAUGUAUUUUUCUAAAUUUACAUGUUUAAGUUGUAGAUUUUAGAUGGUUAUUUCUGACAUGUUGAGUAUUUGUGAAAGAUAUCCAUGGGAUUCCCACUGGUUUUAUCAAUUACACUUGAAUGACA